GAUGAACGCUGGCGGCGUGCCUAAUACAUGCAAGUCGAGCGAACAGACGAGGAGCUUGCUCCUCUGACGUUAGCGGCGGACGGGUGAGUAACACGUGGAUAACCUACCUAUAAGACUGGGAUAACUUCGGGAAACCGGAGCUAAUACCGGAUAAUAUAUUGAACCGCAUGGUUCAAUAGUGAAAGACGGUUUUGCUGUCACUUAUAGAUGGAUCCGCGCCGCAUGAGAUAGUUGGUAAGGUAACGGCUUACCAAGGCAACGAUGCGUAGCCGACCUGAGAGGGUGAUCGGCCACACUGGAACUGAGACGCGGUCCAGACUACUACGAGAGGCAGCAGUAGGGAAUCUUCCGCAAUGGGCGAAAGCCUGGCGGAGCAACGCCGCGUGAGUGAUGAAGGUCUUCGGAUCGUAAAACUCUGUUAUUAGGGAAGAACAAAUGUGUAAGUAACUAUGCACGUCUUGACGGUACCUAAUCAGAAAGCCACGGCUAACUACGUG
rnacentral:rRNA from 1 species